UGCCUACGGGGGGCAGCAGUGGGGAAUAUUGGACAAUGGGCGCAAGCCUGAUCCAGCAAUUCCGCGUGAGCGAAGAAGGCCUUCGGGUUGUAAAGCUCUUUCGGCGGGGACGAUAAUGACGGUACCCGCAGAAGAAGCCCCGGCUAACUCCGUGCCAGCAGCCGCGGUAAUACGGAGGGGGCUAGCGUUGUUCGGAAUCACUGGGCGUAAAGCGCACGUAGGCGGCUACUCCAGUCAGAGGGGAAAGCCCGGGGCUCAACUCCGGAAUUGCCUUUGAAACUAGGUAGCUUGAACGUCGGAGAGGUAAGUGGAAUUCCGAGUGUAGAGGUGAAAUUCGUAGAUAUUCGGAAGAACACCAGUGGCGAAGGCGACUUACUGGACGACUGUUGACGCUGAGGUGCGAAAGCGUGGGGAGCAAACAGGAUUAGAUACCCCGGUAGUCUCU
rnacentral:rRNA from 1 species